GGCCCAUAAAUUGCUGAUCUACCUCAUCCCGGGCUGUCAACGUCGACAGCCCUCACCACUUCACGACAAAGGCGCCGU
rfam:Pseudomonas putida KT2440 complete genome.